UACGAGGGGGGCAAGCGUUGUUCGGAAUUAUUGGGCGUAAAGGGCGCGUAGGCGGUGCGGUAAGUCUGAUGUGAAAUCUCCGGGCUCAACUCGGAGUCUGCAUCAGAAACUGCCGUGCUCGAGUGUGGGAGAGGUGCGUGGAAUUCCUGGUGUAGCGGUGAAAUGCGUAGAUAUCAGGAGGAACACCUGUGGCGAAAGCGGCGCACUGGACCACAACUGACGCUGAGGCGCGAAAGCUAGGGGGAGCAAACAGG
rnacentral:rRNA from 1 species